rnacentral:rRNA from 1 species
AGCCAUGCAUGUCUAAGUAUAAGCAAUUAUACAGCGAAACUGCGAAUGGCUCAUUAUAUAAGUUAUCGUUUAUUUGAUAGUACCUUACUACUUGGAUAACCGUGGUAAUUCUAGAGCUAAUACAUGCUAAAAAUCCCGACUUCGGAAGGGAUGUAUUUAUUAGAUUAAAAACCAAUGCCCUCUGGGCUCCUUGGUGAUUCAUAAUAACUUUUCGAAUCGCAUGGCCUUGCGCCGGCGAUGGUUCAUUCAAAUUUCUUCCCUAUCAACUUUCGAUGUUUGGGUAUUGGCCAAACAUGGUCGCAACGGGUAACGGAGGGUUAGGGCUCGACCCCGGAGAAGGAGCCUGAGAAACGGCUACUACAUCCAAGGAAGGCAGCAGGCGCGCAAAUUACCCAAUCCCGAUUCGGGGAGGUAGUGACAAUAAAUACUGAUACAGGGCUCUUUUGGGUCUUGUAAUUGGAAUGAGUACAAUUUAAAUCCCUUAACGAGGAACAAUUGGAGGGCAAGUCUGGUGCCAGCAGCCGCGGUAAUUCCAGCUCCAAUAGCGUAUAUUAAAGUUGUUGUGGUUAAAAAGCUCGUAGUUGAACCUUGGGCCUGGCUGGCCGGUCCGCCUCACCGCGUGUACUGGUCCGGCCGGGCCUUUCCCUCUGUGGAACCUCAUGCCCUUCACUGGGUGUGGCGGGGAAACAGGACUUUUACUUUGAAAAAAUUAGAGUGCUCCAGGCAGGCCUAUGCUCGAAUACAUUAGCAUGGAAUAAUGAAAUAGGACGUGUGGUUCUAUUUUGUUGGUUUCUAGGACCGCCGUAAUGAUUAAUAGGGACAGUCGGGGGCAUCAGUAUUCAAUUGUCAGAGGUGAAAUUCUUGGAUUUAUUGAAGACUAACUACUGCGAAAGCAUUUGCCAAGGAUGUUUUCAUUAAUCAGGAACGAAAGUUAGGGGAUCGAAGACGAUCAGAUACCGUCGUAGUCUUAACCAUAAACUAUGCCGACUAGGGAUCGGACGAUGUUAU